UGCAGUGUGGCGCAAUGGCUAACGCUUUUGCCCUUCAUCAGACAGGUCCGGGGUUCGAUUCCACCCGGUGCCA